rnacentral:tRNA from 1 species
GGGCUGGUGGUCUAGUGGCAUGACGUCUGCCUCACACGCAGAAGAUCGGGAGUUCAAUUCUCCCCCGGCCCA